GGGGAUGGAAGCACAACUUUAACUCGUCCUGUCAGGGGUGAAAGGCGACUCGUCAAUGAUCGUAUAGAGACGGCGGGUCGUGCCGACACCUGGUACAAUCGAACACACCUAUUGAGGCGAGUGGGUUCUGCCCUACUUUAGGUGGUCCCGCCCGCCAAUUUUUGGAAGCCUCCCAUUGGCGAGGCUCACAAAGUCUCUAUGUUUAAGCCCUUUUCUUUUUUCCUUUCUUUUGUUUCUUCUUCCAGCGGGAUUGGUUUAAGUAUCUGUUAAUGAAGAGGCAGGACCCCAAAAUUAACUGAAUAUAUAAUUUCUCAUCAAAUUCGAAAUAAAUUUCAUCUAAAAUACUAUUUAUUACUAUGUGUAUUUUUUAUUUCCUGCAUUUUAUAGUUCACAACCUUUAGUUACUGCUAUUUCGUCCUACAUGCCAAAAAUCUAACUUGGAAAAUAGUAAAAUACUCAGUUGCCAGCUCUAUAUUUGUGGAAAUGCAAUUUCUUUUUUUUUUUUUCCCUACUAUAUCUGAUCUUGUAAAAUAGCACAACUACAAUCUUCAUCUUUUUGUAGUUGCCUAAUUAACAACUCCAUCAUCUUCUUGUACAUAGGCAUAUAAUGAUCGUUUAUCAUCGUUUUUGACAGGCGGAUCUUACUGUACAGUUCUCUGGGAGUCUCGUAUAUACCCACAUGUUCUUCAGUGAGUACUUCAUGAUCUACAUUGGCAGUGUCCGAGGCAGGCAUGCUUACAAUAUGCAUGAUUCUACC
rnacentral:lncRNA from 1 species